CAUCUUGAAACCUAUUCAAGCAACCACCAUUUCAGCUUAACAAAUCGAGGAGGGUGGCAAUACUUUGCCCCUAGCUUGCAAUAAAUUUUUUUGAUGAUCCCUAAUAGUGAGCGCAGUGGUUGCUUCAGUAGGUGUCGUAGAGGCAUCAAAAUUUAGCUUGAGAACACCCAUGGGUGGGGGAACCAAUAAAGUUUAGGUAGAUAAUAUUUUGACG
rnacentral:lncRNA from 1 species